rnacentral:rRNA from 1 species
GACGAACGCUGGCGGCGUGCUUAACACAUGCAAGUCGAACGGAAAGGCCUGCUUUCCCUUGUGGAUUGCGGGUACUCGAGUGGCGAACGGGUGAGUAACACGUGAGUGAUCUGCCCCCAACUUGGGUAUAAGCCUGGGAAACUGGGUCUAAUUCCCGAUAGGACUGCAGGGUGGUGCCUGUGGUGGAAAACGAUUUUCUAGUGGUUGGGGAUGAGCUCGCGGCCUAUCAGCUUGUUGGUGGGGUAAUGGCCUACCAAGGCGGCGACGGGUAGCCGGCCUGAGAGGGUGGACGGCCACAUUGGGACUGAGAUACGGCCCAGACUCCUACGGGAGGCAGCAGUGGGGAAUAUUGCACAAUGGGCGGAAGACUGAUGCAGCGACGCCGCGUGGGGGAUGACGGCCUUCGGGUUGUAAACUCCUUUCGACCGCGAGGAAGCCACCUGGUUGGAAGGGUGGUGACGGUAGUGGUAGAAGAAGCACCGGCUAACUACGUG